rnacentral:lncRNA from 1 species
GUCUUUCUGUGGUACCUCCCCAGAAAGUCCUGAGCUUACGUCUAAAAACAAAGCUUCAGGCUAUCCCAGCUCUUCCCAGCUCGCUGUGUGAAAAGCUAACAUGGCCUUGAGCGCGGGCUAGACUUGGCUGGGAAACCUCCUUCUCCUGUCUGGGGUGUGAUUCUAGCCAGCUCAGGAGCCCAGGUGAUCCCCCAUGGUUGGGGACCAAGAAGACGUAGUUUGUGAAUCCAGGUUAAGCAGUCACUGGCUGUACCCACGAAAACUCCAGAAAGUGCCGCCAUCCUUGAGAAAAAUCUGCCUUCAGACUGACCGAGGUGCUGAUCGAUCCUUUCCGCAAAGGAGCUCCGGGAAGUGGGAAACUUUUGCCAGAGGACAGACUGCAGAAGGAUCCAAGAGUCACCUGUGCUCAGGUUUCUGCUGGAAUGAACUUACUCGGUAAGUAUUCCCCAAACAAAAGGCACGAUACUCACCUUUUGGCUUUAUCAGGUGUUAACAUUUGGCUGCAAAUAGGAUAAACCACUUGCACCACCCAGGUUCCUGGCUUCCUCAAUCGGAGGGGUUCUUGGGGCGGCAGGUGCUGUGGAUGGCUCUUUCCGCAUGUGCCCGGGCUGCCAAAGGACAGACAGGUGAUGCAAGGGCGAUAGAAGGUGCAGCACAUUAGCUCCGUGGUGCAUGCCGGAGGUGAGCAGUUUCAACAAAGCCAAGGGAGAAAAUCUACCUGACGGUGGUACGCCCUCAUUAGAGGGAUCAGACCUCUAAGGGGAAGUUCGUGGCUGUGGGGGCUUUGGAAGCCCCUCUCAACGAGAAACUUCUGUAAGGAUUCUGACCCCAUCCUUCACAACUUCUCAAGCAGCUGAGCUCAUCAGACUGGCUGAGGCUGAGGACGCUCUUUGCAGGAACAUUCUCUGGAAGAAGACUCAGGCAGCAUGGUGUGAGAACCUGUUCCGGUCUGAUGUGUGGCCCCUGUUCUGAUGCUUGAUGACACUUCUCAACUCCUGAAGAAUAAGGGGUGCACCUUCCCCCCCCCUUUUUGUAAAUCACAAAUCAACAGGACGUAAUAGUUCCAAUGCCACUUCUCUUUCUUUCCAAAACUCCAGCUUCUGUCCCUUCCAGAGUUCAGUCCUAAAAGAGCACUCAGAAGAAGUAUUCAGAAAAUGUGGGUUUAGCACAGAACAAAAGUAGCCCAACUCCACCCCUGGGGAGUCAUUAAAAGCAGUAAGCCGACAGCUAAUCUACAACACUGAACAGUAACAAGUACCUGUUCUGUAAGUAAUCCAGGGAGCCUGAGUUGAUGUGUGUGAUUUGGGGCAAUCCCGAGUGCUUUCAUUCGGGGAGAAGUUCAUGCUUGUGUCAAGAUGAAACCUCACGCCCUCGGAAAAUGUAAAGAAUGCUGGCGUGUCUUCGUUAGUCUUCUGUAGUUUUCACACCAAGUAAAGACUGUAGAAUUUACAUGUAUUGUUAUUUAUUCUAACUGAAAGCAAACCGGCGCCCUAUUUGAUAGAUAUUACGCCUGGAGUCGUUUUAAAAUACUGGGUCGUGUCUGGAAAUGGAUACAAGUUCCUACAUGAUCACACUUUAAAAAAUCACUUAACUGUUUGCUUGGGUUUUCACUAGUGGGGGGAAAGAGAAAACAUGAUUUAAAAAUGUAAUCAUUACAGACCAUGUGCUUGACGGUGGGGAGGUAUGGAAACCAUACUCCCAGCCAGUUACACUUUAAACAAAAUGUAAAUACACAUACUUUAAGACUCAGAAUCCAGACAAGCAUUUACAUAGCAAUGCACCAGGAAUUUAACAUAUGUUAAAAUAGAGAAAACCCCAGGCCCCAAAUGGUGUCACUUAGACCAAGUUCCCAAACCCCAGGGGCUUAAAACCCCUUCUGACCGCAGUUUCCAUCUUGCCCAAGAAACGUGGCCUCAACCCGUCAGUCAGGAAAAAUUUUCUUUCCAUCAGUGGCAACCGGGGGCACUGGGUCCUCUCCGUCUCCCAAAGAAAGAUCAGGGAAUCUGUGUGAGAAGACGCCUUGCUUUCCUUCCUAGCAAACUGCCUGGUCUGGAAUAAUCGUUCCUCACCAUCUGUCUCUGAAAACCUUCCAUUUUCUACCAUUUCUCAGGACUUCCCUCCACUUGCUAGGUGGGGUGCUGCCUGAUUCAGGAAUGGCUUGGUAAAGCCAAUUAGGUCUUCAAAUGUACCUGGUUGAAUUUCAUUAUUUAGCACAUAUGAUGAGUGAUAUGUAUUUUCUUUCCUGAAGUGGGGUCCCAUUUCCUCCCUUCCUUCCUUCUUUUCCUUCCUUUCUUCCUUCCUUCCUCCUUUCUUCCUUUCUUUUCUCCUCCUGCCCUCCCCUCCCCUUUUCUUUCUCUUGUCUCUUUUUGUCACACAAAAAGACGUCAUCUCACAAAAAUGAUCUCUUCUUUUCAAACUAGGAUUUUGGGGGGGGGGGGGGGGGGGGGGGGGGGGGGGAGGGGGAGGGGAGAGUGGUUACCUUACUUGCUUCUUUCUAUCCCCAGGGAACUGUAGGUCUGUUCCCACUCCCUCUUUGUGGGUGUAGUUCGAGCAAACAGAUUCCUUUCCCCCUCAAACUAAGUGCCUUCUAAUUUUUACGAAUUAUAGGAACUUAAGUAAAACUUUAGUAGAUUCGCUCAUAUAAAUAAAUAUAAUAAAAUUCACAUGCCAGAUAAAUCCAUUUGUGUUCUGGAGGGGCUCAGACUUACACAGCAGGUAAGGAGCCUCGAGGCCACACCACCGCAUCUGGCCGGCCUGCCUCUUGCAGACAGACCCACAAGCCAUGUGUCCCCCAGUGCCCUUGCAAGCCGGCUGUCUGCUGGGAGGUGCAUUCCACACAGUCCUAGCCUAGGGUAUUGCUCCCUCGGGAAACGAGACAAAACAUCUAACCAAAUUAAAGGAAAAUCCAAACAAUAAGCGAAGGCAUUUCCUACAAUGCUGGUCUCUUUUAACACUGAUCAAAAACUUCUAACAUUAUCAAUCUGUUUCCUCUAUUAACAACAUUGCUUACUAUUUAUUUUGUUUCUUUUUUUAAAGCCUACUAUUGUGUGUGUGUGUGUGUGUGUGUGUGUGUGUCUGUCUGUCUGUGACAGAGAGAGAGAGACUUGGAGUUUUUCUGCUAUAAACACUGCUCGUAACUCACAUUUUUCUCAAUAUGACAUUGCUUUUCUAACUUUAUAGGAUCUUGCACUGUGCCUAAGUUUUAAUUUUUUCUGCAAUCAGUCCUGAAAGCAUAAAAAUAAAAAAAUAAGUUGAUGUCCUAGAAGGUUGCAAAAAUGGCCACAGGUUUUCACUCCUUGUGUCCAUUCCCUUUGCAAUGCAACUUUGCAGCUUCGCCCACCGCCCCCGUCGAGAAAUUGACCUGUUUCCGCACUCAUGACCCGCGCUGGCCAAUGGAAUGCGGUAGAAGUGACCGUGUACGCCAUUUGCUCUCUCUUAAAACCCCACCUCCACCCUGUGAAACGUCCAGGCUGGCCCAGUGCUAGGUGGGAGGCCGUGGCCUCGUUGCCCCCACCCCUGCCAAUAUCCAGCCAACCGGUAAACACACGGGUAAGGUCAUGCCGCUCGGUAAGGCCCAGCCCACCUGCCAGUUGACCUCAGUCUCAUGAGCGAGCCCCGCUGAGAUCAGCCACACCUGGCCCAGAGGGACAGAACGGCCCAGAUGACCUGCAGACACGUGACUAACAGUAAAUGAUUGCAGCUUUGCGGCACUAACUUUGGUCUGGGGCCUCAAAUACCUGAUUCACUUACAUUUUCUUUGAGCGUGUUUUGUUCUUAACUCUAACCCAUAUAAAGCCUACUUUUUUUUUGCAUAGGGUGAGGUAGUUAAGGGGCUUUUAUUUGUUUUAGCUAUAUGUGUGGCCAGUUUUCUCAACACUAUUGAACUUUCUUUCAUCACUGAUUUGAAAUGCCAUGGUUUUCAUUAACUAAAUCCCCACAUGCACAAGGGCUUGCUUCUGGACUGGCUAAUAGGUUCUGAUGUUUUAUUUUCUGUGUCUGAGCCAAUAACACAAUGUUUAAUUCCUUAAUCUGAGAGUAUGACUUGGUAUCUGGAAUGUUCCUGUGAAAUAAUGCAGGGGCCCAAUUAUUAGAAGUAAAGGGAGGGGAUGUUAUCUUAAAUACUUUCGUAUUUCCUCUAGAAUCCACGUAGCUCCUGUGGACAUGGUGGUGACUGCAAAAACAUUUGGUCUUCUGCAUUGCAAAUCUGUGGCGUUUAACAUACUAGGAAUAAAUUUGGGAGCCUGUGGUUUACAGAGAUGAUAUUUAUGGUCCUGAUCUCUUUUUGUCUUCACCACUCUAUCAGGUACAAGGUCAGCAAGCUGAGAAAGGCUAUAUCACCAUGAUGGUGGAGGAAGAAGCAGGGAAAAGAAGGAAAAGCAGCAGCAGCAGAAAAGGAGGAGAAAAAAACUAACAUCUACUGAGUGUUUAACUCUGUUAGUGUCUAUACCAAACACUGUACCUGCCUUGCCUUCUUUACAGCUUUGUGAGGUUAGUGCUAUUUAUAUAUCCAGUUUUCAGAGGAGAAGGUGAGAGUCCCAGAAGUUAUGUAACGAGUUCAAAGCCACACAGUCAAUGAGUCAAAAUUCUGAAUGAAUGUGAAUGCAAGGAAAAAAAAACAAACCUGGAAGAAAAUCCACGUCAUGGUUAGCGGUUGACUGGGAUGCCGUGGGAUUCUGCAGUCACACGGUGGGCGGUUUUCUCUCUCACAGCCUGGCUGGACCAGUAACCAAGGGAGGAGGCGGGGGCAAGACAUGUUCUGCGAUCGGCCUCACGGAGCUGUAUUACCCAGCCUGCCCCGCGCCGGUCUCGCCUGCCCCGUUCUCCCAGGACAUUGCACUCUUGCCUAGGAUCCGGCUUCUGCAUGACUCUCUAGUCCUUACCUUUAUAAGGGGUGGAACCAGAUCAAUGAAAGAAUUUUAUACAGAAAAGAAUUAAUGAGAAAUAGGUGACAAGGACGUUUAGAAGGGACAGGAAAAAUUCAGUUUUGCCCUUUACUUCCUGUUUCCGCUUCUCAGGCCCCCUGUCGCCCAGGUGUGCACACGUGGUGGGUGUUGGCCCUAUUUGGCUGUGUUCGUUAUAUUGCAACGGUAAAAAAAAAAGGUAAAGGUUGGAUUAUGAAUAUCGGGACAGAGGUGAUAACCUUUUUUUUUGGCCCAAAAGAAAAACAGAAUAGGACUUCGGAAAAGAGAAGAAAAUAGGGGGAAAUCAAUAACUUAUAAAAAGAAGAAUAGAAAGGACAAAAAAAAGUGAAAUAAAUUAAAGUCACAAAGAUGGAAAGGAUAACACGGAGUUGCCGGUAGGUCCAUUAAAUAGGAAUGGACUGAAUUCUAGUAAAAGACUCAGACAGGCAUUUUUCAUUUCAUUUCAUUUAUUUUUAAAAAUAUUUUUGAGAGAGGGGUGCCUGGGUGGCUCAGUCGGUUAAGGGUCCGGCUUCGGCUCAGGUCGUGAUCUCGCGGUCCGUGAGUUCGAGCCCCGCGUCAGGCUCUGGGCUGACGGCUCGGAGCCUGGAGCCUGUUUCCGAUUCUGUGUCUCCCUCUCUCUCUGACCCUCCCCCGUUCAUGCUCUAUCUCUCUCUGUCUCAAAAAUAAAUAAACGUUAAAAAAAAUUUUUUUUUUGAGAGAGAGAGUGCAUGCACACAAGCAGGGGAGGGGAAGAGAGGGAAACAGAGGCUCUCUAGCAGGCUCUGUGCUGACAGCAGACUGCCUGAUGCCUAUGAGGGGCUCGAACUCACUCAUGAACGGAGAGAUCAUGACCUGAACGGAAGUCAGCCGAAGUUUAACCAAUGAGCCACCCAGGUGCCCCUAGGCAUUUUUCAUUUUAAAAGACUACACAUAAAGUUAAAUGAAAAAGAGAAAAUCAAGGAAUGCAUAAGUAUAUGUAGCAAAUAUACGACAUUCUUAUUUGCUUUUUACUUGUACCUGACGAGGUGAAAUGAAAGGUUCAAGGUCAAAGACAAAGGUUAGGGUAUUGGGCUGCAACCUAAGGCAGCAAAGGUGAGCAUCUGGACGGAUGGGUGCUCUUCUCUUUCUUUCGUCUCCUCCUUUUUUUCCCUUUCUUUUUAUUUUUUUAAUGACAACAGCUAGUUUUUUGUUGAACAUUCACAUCUCAUAAAAAUAAUUAAGUACUGAGAUGAUCCAGGAAGCCAGCUUGAAGUGAGUCGCUUAAAGGUAAAAACAAUAUUGUUCUGCAGGGUUAAGAUUGUGAUUAGAUUCUUAAUUGGAUUCUGACUACAUCCAGUUAAAUUUAUGCACAGUAAAAUUAAAAAUUAAAAUUGAGAUGUUAGCUACUCUAGGAACAGAAAUAGAGUGUAGAGAAUACUACCUCUUCCAAACAAGUAGAAGGUAACAAAUAAACAAACUAAAAUAAAAGCUCAAGCCAAAAAAAAAAAAAACAAGAAAGGAGAAAAAAAAUGGAUGUACAAAUGUAAGAUUGUAGGAAAAACACAAAUUCAUUCAUUCAACAGUUAUAGUAUCGAGGGCCUACUAGAAACCACAUAUUGUGGGAUACAGCAGUAAACAAAACAUAGGAAAUAUCUGCCUUCAUGAGGCUUCUGUCCUAGUCAGGGGAAACGUAAUGGUUCAGAUAAAUGAACAAAUCAUGCGGCAUGUCUUACGAUGAUAAACACAAGACAAAUAAAUGCAAUGGAUAUGUUAAGGGUGGAAGAAAGCUUGUCAAAAAUGGCCUCACUGAGAAGGUGGUUUUCAAAAAAAAAUAUGAGGGAGGUAAAGAAUUGAACCAUGUGGAUAUGAGGGGAAGAGCAUUUCAGACAAGGGAAGUGCAAAUAUCCUGGGGCUAGCCUGAGCUUGAGGAGGCUACACAGAACAGAGGGGAGGGUAGGAGGAGGUGAGAUCAGAGGUGAGGCAGGAUCAGAUCAUUGUAGGACCUUUCACUUUAAGUGAAAUGGGUAGUCUUCAGAGGAUUUUUUGAGAAGAGGGAGAGGAUCUAUCUUUUUUUUUUUUCUUUUUAGGAGGCUCAUUCUAGAUGCUGCGACGCGAACAGACCACAGGAAGAAACAGCAGACGGUGAUUGGGUGGCUCCUGUGUAACCCAGGUGAGGGACCGUGCAAGUCAGAGAGGUGAGGUGGUGGGAAGGGCAGGGGAGUCUGGAGAGAUCGCAAAGAGGUUAUCCACAGGAUUUGCCGACAGAUUACAAGUGCGGUGCGCAAGAGAUGAGUCGGGGUGGUGUUUCUUAGGCACUUGGAACCGUGCAAGUAAAUUAAGUUUAUAAUUGCAAUUAACCCUAAAUCUGAGAUAUAUACCAUUAUCAUCCCCAAGUGAGCUGGAGGAGCCAGAGUUCCUGGCAGGUCGUUGGCCAGUGCAUCACCCUGUGGUGCGCUCUCUCUCUUCCUUCCUUUCAGAGAAACCUCCCAGGUUGCCUGUUCCCAAGGCUUUGACCAAACCCAGAUGCCCUGGCCCAGAGUGAGUGUGUGUGUUUGGCAAAACUGCCCUGCACUACAUAGAAAGGUGAAUGUUGCUUAAGAAAAGCCAAAUGCAGGGCGCCUGGGUGACUCAGUCGGUUGAGCGUCCGACUUCGGCUCAGAUCACGAUCUCGCGGUCUGUGGGUUCGAGCCCUGCUUCGGGCUCUGUGCCGACAGCUCGGAGCCUGGGGCCUGCUUCAGACUCUGUGUCUCCCUCUCGCUCUGCUCCUCCUCUGCUCGCGUUCUUUCUCUCUUUGUCAAAAAUAAAUAAACAUUAAAAAUUUUUUUUAAAGAAAAGCCAAAUGUGAUCUCUUGGCUUUUAAGCUUGUCUCGCAGAAAAUCAUCAUGUCACCUUGGAAGAGGUGAAACUGGUGAAGGCAGCAAAUGACUUUACUUGGUACCACCUUACAAACGAACAGCCCCAUCUUUCACGAAUCAAUGAACAUUUAUGAUGGAGGAAAAAUCAGUGGAUGGCACAUAUCUCAGGUUUAGGAUUGACUGCGAUUGUAAACCUGUCACAAUUCCAAGGGCAUAAUAAGUGCAUUGCAAAUAUUAGCUGUCAUCAUGACCAAAUAAGUAAAAUCUUUAACAGGUUUUUUUUUUUUUUUUGAGAAGUAAUGAACUUGGUAAAUGUUAGCAUUCGUUUGCAAAUUGUCUUCUCCUCCAUCAAAGAGACGGGGACUGAGACCUGGAAAUACAUAAAAGUUUAAAGGCUAGGACCCGCCACCGACUGAGAAUCCACAUAAAUGAUGCAAAACUCCUCUAAAAUUAUCAUGUGAGUCGGUGAAAGAUAAGAAAAUAAAGAAAGUUCUGCGACGUUUUUCCAAAUCAUUAUUUUUUAAGUGAGGAACACGUGCUCGAUACUCAGAAUUAAAGUCUAAUUUAGCAAAGAAAUUAGAACAGCAUCCUAUCAUCGGAAAUGCUUCUAGAGUUCCUUCCCUACGAUGUAGCCUCCUGAGUGGCUUUGCACCUGCCAGUCUGUGAAUGUCCCCACCUGCUUAAGUGCUUGGCACCUUCCCUUCCUGGUACCUACGCAAGAGUCUCCUUACCACAGCCAAAGUCUUCCCCAUACAAGUUUCUUUCUUAUCCCCAGUUCACCGCUUAUCCAUGAAACAGUGUCCCUUCUCAAGCCUCAGCAUCGAUAAGAUUCAUGUGAGCAGUCUGUUCAAAUGCAGAUUCCCGGGCUUCAGCCCCGGACUCCAGAUUUAGUAAACAGGUGAACAUGGGACUCUGUUUUUUAACAGAUGACAUUCUCAUACACAUUGUCCACUGACCGUCCUUGGAGAAACAUUGUUUUGAGAAUAGUGUGCAUCUUGGUGCUCAAAGUGUGAGCCACGGGCCAGCAGCACCUGUAGUGUUUGGGGCUGGUUAGAAAUGCAGAAUCUGGGGCCCCAUCUGAGACCUUCUGAAUUAGGAUCUGCCUUGUGACAACAUCCAUCCAUAGGCGCUUCACAUUCAUGUUAACUUUUGAGGAGCACUGAUUAGAUCAGACAAAAGAAAUAUGUUGACCGUAUGUUUUAGUAAGGGCUUUUUUGUACUUUGAGGCUUUAAUUGUAAAGUGUUUUUUGUUUUUUUGUUUUUUUUUGAGAAAUCAUAGACACCGUUUUCCAAUCCUCUGAUUUGGUUCCCUUCUCCAGAACAUGAAGAUUUCUUACGGAGAUUACUUUAUCUUUGCCUUUACAAAAUCAGUUUUGAAGAAUUUCUGGCUCAUCAAGAGAAGCAGGUGCUAUUUUAAAUCUAGUAUAAUUUUCUCAACCGUGCAGAGACAGUUCGUGCAGUUACUAAGUAUGUACGUUUGAUUUGUUUGCUUCAGCCAUGACAUUGGGGUCAUCCUCCAGACAAAUAUCUCAUCUCGCCUGAUGAAAUCAGGAAGGUGCUUCUGGUGUCCAAGGGAUGAAUGUCUCAUCUCCUGGGAGGGGACUGAAGUCCUCUGCCAGGGGAAACCAGAACAUCUGUUGCAGGCAAGAUCCAGCCUGCUGGCUGAGCGGAGUCUACGGAGGCACUUAGAAUAAAGCCUUGGGUCUUCAUCAGAAGACAUUGCCAUGGUCAUCAAGCCAUUUGCAAUGGAAUCCAGGAUGCGCUCAUAGGGACUAAAUACGCUUAUGAAAAAAUGGUUAUUAGUAUAAUAGUGGGUCCAAAAAGCUCACUGUCUCAGGCACUGACUUUCCUUUUGCUCAUUUGAAAAAAAA